AACGAACGCUGGCGGCAGGCCUAAUACAUGCAAGUUGAACGAUCUCUUCGGAGAGAGUAGCGCACGGGAGAGUAACACGUGGGAACUUACCUAUCAGUACGGAACAACCAUUGGAAACGAUGGCUAAUACCGUAUGGUCCCUCCGGGGUAAAGAUUUAUCGCUGAUAGAUAGGCCCGCGCUAGAUUAGUUUGUUGGUGGGGUAACGGCCUACCAAGACUACGAUCUAUAGCUGGUUUGAGAGAACGAUCAGCCUCACUGGGACUGAGACACGGCCCAG
rnacentral:rRNA from 1 species